AUCGUAGAUCUUGUAUUACGUUUUAUAAGAUGAACCAGUGUUUUUCAUAUAAUUUGAAUUGUAUGCAUGAUUAGUGAAGAAAUUAAGUAACCUGUUCUAAUCCUGUUAUGGAUCAUGUCAUGUUAUUAAUGUUCCCUCAGCAUUUUUUUUAAGUAUAUAUGUUUCAUGCAUGAUAUGUUACAAUGCAUAAGUAACUUGCAUGAUCCCAGAAGUUAUGGCUAUGUAUGCAACAUGAUGAUGCUGAUAUUUUAAUCAUGCAUGUAAGUUUAUAAAGUCUUAGCUAGCCCAGAGACACUAUAAUGGGCUCAAAGAUGCUACUGAGAAUGACUGAGCUUGCCCCGCCAGUGGCUGAAUAGUAACUGAGUCUGCCCCGCCAGUGGCUGAAUAGUAACUGGGCCUGCCCCGCCAGUGGCUGAAUAGUAACUGGGCCUGCCCCGCCAGUGGCU
rnacentral:lncRNA from 1 species